UACGGGGGGGGCAAGCGUUGUUCGGAAUUACUGGGCGUAAAGGGCUUGUAGGCGGCCCACUAAGUCAGACGUGAAAUCCCCAGGCUCAACCUGGGAACUGCGUCUGAUACUGGAUGGCUUGAAUCCGGGAGAGGGAUGCAGAAUUCCAGGUGUAGCGGUGAAAUGCGUAGAUAUCUGGAGGAAUACCGGUGGCGAAGGCGGCAUCCUGGACCGGCAUUGACGCUGAGGAGCGAAAGCCAGGGGAGCAAACGGG
rnacentral:rRNA from 1 species